rnacentral:tRNA from 1 species
GCCGGGGUGGCCGAGCGGUCCAAGGCGACGGGCUCGAGACCCGUUACCCGCAAGGGUGCGUGGGUUCAAAUCCCACCCCCGGCG